rnacentral:rRNA from 1 species
GUAGGUGGCAAGCGUUGUCCGGAAUAUUGGGCGUAAAGCGCGCGCAGGUGGUCUUUAAGUCUGAUGUGAAAGCCCCCGGCUCAACCGGGGAGGGUCAUUGGAAACUGGGGAACUUGAGUGCAGGAGAGGAAAGUGGAAUUCCACGUGUAGCGGUGAAAUGCGUAGAUAUGUGGAGGAACACCAGUGGCGAAGGCGACUUUCUGGCCUGUAACUGACACUGAGGCGCGAAAGCGUGGGGAGCAAACAGGAUUAGAUACCCUGGUAGUCCACGCCGUAAACGAUGAGUGCUAAGUGUUGGGGGGUUUCCGCCCCUCAGUGCUGCAGCUAACGCAUUAAGCACUCCGCCUGGGGAGUACGGUCGCAAAGACUG